UUCACUUGCGACAACGGAAUGUGUCCACACACCUCUCUCUAUCUUCUUUACCUGUAUCCCAAUACAGUCCCGUUUCCCAUUCUUACCCUUUGAUUUCUCCCCAAAUUCCGAAACUGCCAUUCCUUUGUCUUGAGCUUCAGUCCUUUCCCGUCUCUUUGAUCGUGCCAACACACGGCUACGUUUUGGUAUCUAGAAGACACUGAUCGCGCCGAUUCACAAAACUUGCAGCCUACCUGUUUGCGAUAAUGCCUCAAUGGGCUGCAACAUUCUGGCAAUUUAAGAAGCUGCUACCCAUGUUGGUGCCUGCGUUCAUCGUCUGUCAGAAUUUAUGCGCCUAGAUUUCUUGAGGUGAUUAUAUUCUGACUCAUCAGCUUUAGAUUUCCUUAUCCGAUCCCAUAUAUUUCAGAUGUAUAUCAUUUACAACCACAAAAGUAAAAGGGUCUGUGAUGGAAUCUUAUCAUGCGGCUAUAACUCACUUGAUCAAAGGCUAGGAAUUGGUUGUGUAGGACCUACAUUAGCCUCCCAAUCUCAUCAGAUGUAGUUGACAAAGGGCAUCAAAAGCCAUAAAUACAGAGCAUAUAUCAGCAACCCACGAGAAUCCGAUGCAGAAACAAUGUUGAAGAUGACUUCCAACCGCCUAAUAAAUGCAACUUUUAAGCAUUCAUUAAUCAAACUUUACGACCAAAACAAGCUUACCUCCUCCUCAUUAUUACCGCUCAUUGCAUAUUCUCUUGCUUUUAGUUUUGUCUGUUUGUUAGGAAUGUUUGAAGGCUAUUCUCAAGAACAGAUUUUGGCAUCCAAAUAUGUUGUUUUGUAAUGUGAAGUGGAGGGUUUUGUUGGGGAUUUGAUGGGGAUAUGAACAUAUCUUAAAUCCUGCCUUUGGAGACCAUUUACUAUCUUUUUUCUUCUUUUAAUAAUAUUUCUAGAUACUUGAAA